CCGGCGAGGGGAGUGAAAAAGAACCUGAAACCGUGUACGUACAAGCAGUGGGAGCCCCACCACCAAAGCAUUCUCUGGUGUUGAAGGCCCUGCAAAGCAGCAUCGCGGUGGCGGAGCGUCGUUUGCGACGCCCAACACACAAAACAAGCGGUGAAUGCUUUGGGGUGGGGUGACUGCGUACCUUUUGUAUAAUGGGUCAGCGACUUAUAUUCUGUAGCAAGGUU
rnacentral:rRNA from 1 species